rnacentral:rRNA from 1 species
UACGUAGGGGUGCGAGCGUUAAUCGGAAUUACUGGGCGUAAAGCGCGCGUAGGUGGUUCGUUAAGUUGGAUGUGAAAUCCCCGGGCUCAACCUGGGAACUGCAUUCAAAACUGUCGAGCUAGAGUAUGGUAGAGGGUGGUGGAAUUUCCUGUGUAGCGGUGAAAUGCGUAGAUAUAGGAAGGAACACCAGUGGCGAAGGCGACCACCUGGACUGAUACUGACACUGAGGUGCGAAAGCGUGGGGAGCAAACAGG